rnacentral:rRNA from 5 species
AAAACGACUCUCGGCAACGGAUAUCUCGGCUCUCGCAUCGAUGAAGAACGCAGCGAAAUGCGAUACUUGGUGUGAAUUGCAGAAUCCCGCGAACCAUCGAGUCUUUGAACGCAAGUUGCGCCCGAAGCCUUUCGGCCGAGGGCACGUCUGCCUGGGUGUCACGC